AAGAAAAGUUAAAAUAAUGGUAUAUUGCAAACUACUGCGUUGAAAUUUACUUGUAGGUUCUUGAAAGCCGUGAUAAUUUGAAGAGGCGAGGCAUCAGGCUUUAAAAUUGUGAAUAGGCCUACUACGAAAUUAUGAUAAGUUUCGUGAAUUGUGAAUGUAAGAGGAAUUGUGUGAGGAACUGUGAAUGUAUGAAUGUAUGCUGUAUAUGAGGAAUUGUGUAUAUUAGCAAUGCAGUGAUGAAUGUAUGAUGUAUGGCAGUGAAAUGGCGGUAGACAGAGGGUGUGCGAAGCUAUUAUGCUGAAGAUGGUGAGAAUGAGAAGAAGGUAAAUGAUGAUAACAGAAAAAAAAUACUGUAAAAUCGUAAAAAAAUAUAUUAGUUAUUUUAUAUGGCGGUGAAAUGGCGGUAUGUAGAAGGCGUGCGAAGCUGAUAUGCUGAAAAUGCUGAGA